CAGGUAGGUGGUCUCAUUUGUCUGGGGUGAAAUCCUUGGGCUUAACCCAAGAAGUGCCCCGGAAACGGUGAGACUAGAGUUCUAGAGAGGGUCGUGGAAUUCCCGGUGUAGCGGUGAAAUGCGUAGAGAUCGGGAGGAACACCAGAGGCGAAGGCGGCGACCUGGAUAGACACUGACACUCAACUGCGAAAGCGUGGGGAGAACAA
rnacentral:rRNA from 1 species